rnacentral:rRNA from 1 species
GACGAACCGUGCGAACGUUGUUCGGAAUCACUGGGCUUAAAGGGCGCGUAGGCGGGCUGUCAAGUCCGGGGUGAAAUCUUUCGGCUCAACCGGGAAAGUGCCUUGGAUACUGAUGGUCUGGAGGGAGGUAGGGGUAUGUGGAACUUCCGGUGGAGCGGUGAAAUGCGUUGAUAUCGGAAGGAACGCCGGUGGCGAAAGCGACGUACUGGACCUCUUCUGACGCUGAGGCGCGAAAGCUAGGGGAGCGAACGGG